UGGAAAUGAUGAAAUAGAGAUGUUUGGGUGUUGAUUGUUGUAUGAAUGGAAAAUUUUAGUGUGUAUGUUGAUUAAUUUUAGUUUAUUUAUUUUUUUUUUUUGCUAAUUCAGUGUGUGAAAGUGUGUGUGUGUGCGCGUGCUUUUGGUGGCAAUGGAAAGGGGGCACUGAAUGGUGAUGCUGAUAAUGGAGUGCAUCUGAGGCUGUUGUAGAAAUAACCUGGGUUGCUGAUUACAACAUUGCCAAUGAUUAUAACCCAAGAACAGCUCACCUUUCUAGCCCAGCACCCUAAAAUCUCUGACAGGCUCAUUAAAUAUGGUCCUGUGAUCUGAUCCAA
ensembl:scaRNA predicted gene, 22009